GACGAACCGUGCGAACGUUGUUCGGAUUCACUGGGCUUAAAGGGCGCGUAGGCGGUCGACCAAGUCUGGGGUGAAAUCUUUCGGCUUAACCGGAAAAGUGCCCCCGAUACUGGCCGGCUAGAGGGAGAUAGGGGCAUGUGGAACUUCCGGUGGAGCGGUGAAAUGCGUAGAUAUCUGGAGGAACACCGGUGGCGAAGGCGGCAUCCUGGACCAAUUCUGACGCUGAGGAGCGAAAGCCAGGGGAGCAAACGGG
rnacentral:rRNA from 1 species